rnacentral:rRNA from 1 species
ACUUUCAGCAACGGAUCUCUUGGUUCUCGCAUCGAUGAAGAACGCAGCGAAUUGCGAUAAGUAAUGUGAAUUGCAGAUUUUCGUGAAUCAUCGAAUCUUUGAACGCAUAUUGCACUCUAUAGUAUUCUGUAGAGUAUGCUUGUUUGAGCGUCAUUU